rnacentral:rRNA from 1 species
GACGAACGCUGGCGGCGUGCUUAACACAUGCAAGUCGAACGGAAAGGCCCUGCUUUUGUGGGGUGCUCGAGUGGCGAACGGGUGAGUAACACGUGAGUAACCUGCCCUUGACUUUGGGAUAACUUCAGGAAACUGGGGCUAAUACCGGAUAGGAGCUCCUGCUGCAUGGUGGGGGUUGGAAAGUUUCGGCGGUUGGGGAUGGACUCGCGGCUUAUCAGCUUGUUGGUGGGGUAGUGGCUUACCAAGGCUUUGACUGGUAGCCGGCCUUAGAGGGUGGACGGCGACAUUGGUACUGAGAUACGGCGCAGACUCCUACGGGAGGCAGCAGUGGGGAAUAUUGCACAAUGGGCGGAAGCCUGAUGCAGCAACGUCGCGUUCGGGAUGACGGCCUUUGGGUUGUAAACCGCUUUCGCCUGUGACGAAGCGUGAGUGACGGUAAUGGGUGAAGAAGCACCGGCUAACUACGUG